rnacentral:rRNA from 1 species
UACGUAGGGUGCGAGCGUUAAUCGGAAUUACUGGGCGUAAAGCGUGCGCAGGCGGUUUUGUAAGCCGGAUGUGAAAUCCCCGGGCUCAACCUGGGAACUGCAUUGGAAACUAACGGGCUCGAGUGUGGCAGAGGGGGGUGGAAUUCCACGUGUAGCAGUGAAAUGCGUAGAGAUGUGGAGGAACACCGAUGGCGAAGGCAGCCCCCUGGGCUAACACUGACGCUCAGGCACGAAAGCGUGGGGAGCAAACAGG